rnacentral:lncRNA from 1 species
GUUCUUCUAUCUUCCCAUACCGUGUUGUGCAGAGUCGAUCGAGGAUUCUGGUGGUGUUGGAGAUGGCAAAACCUAUAAUAUAGAGUCGUUUCGGUAGUUUUCUGAAACACAAUGUUGUUAUUCUCGCAUCUCGGGUUUUUUGUUUCUUAAUAACCUCAUUUUUUCAAGUUUUUUUAUAUUUGAUUUCAUGUGUGUUUUGUUCUUAGGAUUCGUAUCUAUUCUACUAUUGCUAUUUUCCUCUGCUCAACAAUGUCAAACCGUUCAUGUUCCUCACCAAUGUUCAAUGCCAUUUCACCAUUGUUCAACAUUUUGACUCCCUCACGUUCUUCCUCUGUUCAACUGACUUAAAUUGAAGUGUUCUUCUCAGGUUUUUUUUAAUCUAAUUGUGAACAUAAAUCUCUAGUUUAUGUGUUCUCAUUUAUUUUCCACUCCUUUUAUAUGCAUAAAAAUAAACCAAUAGUUGUUAAUUCAUAGUUUGAGUAUAACCAUGAUAUAUGUCAAGAUGAAUAAUUUUUCCCAUCAUAAAGCUGGAGAUUGAGCAUUUAGUUGGUAUGACUUUCUUGUGCAUUGAAAUGGUGUUGAUAGAUAUUGUAGUAAUUAUGACGUUGAAGCACUUUUUAGGUGUUUUUCUAAUCUAUUUUGAGUAUUAGUUUUAUUCUCAUGUCUCUCCUACUGUUUUUCUACUCUACUUUGAUGUAAGAAGCACAUUUUAGGUGUUUCUUGUGCAUUGAAUCUCUCUAUUAUGAAUUGAUCUACUCAUAGUCUAUUGCAUAUUGCCUUGCCCAUAAUUUCACAAAUGGACCAAUGCUUUGGAUGAUAAUGAACCAAGGUUGUCAUAUCUUAAUGAGUUUGUUUCAAUUUUAUAUCCUUGCCAUAACUUCAGUAGUAACAUUUUAAAUAUAUUUGUGUGUGCAGCAUGAGUGCAAGUCCUAGAUCUUUCCCAUAUACUUAUUUAUUGCUUCACUUCACAUUGGUGGUGGUGGCUAGAUUCAAUGUUAAAUCCUCUCUACGAAUAUUUCAAUUUUGCUACAUUAUAUAGAAUUCAUGUUAAAAUUCAUCUCAUAAAAGACACAUUUCUUCCCUUUUUCUCCCUUGUUUCACCACUCUAAAGGAUAAUGCUUCUUCUUAUGAUCUCUCUCAAAUUGAGCAUGGUGAUGGAUACAUAUGUGGAAUCAGUAUGUAUAUGCUUGCAUAUAUUAUAGUAUAUGAUAGUUGUUCUUCCAUUUUUCUCCCUUGUUUCGCCACUCUAAAGGAUAAUGCUCCUUGUUAUGUUCUUUUUUAUUGCUCCUUGUACAGUACAAGUCUUUAAUGAUCUUUGCAUAAUCAAUAGCUUUUGAAGAACCGUUCCCCUAAUCAAGAUUACUAGAUGCAUUAAGUUCAAUGAAAUUCAAUUAGUCAAAUCCUCCUCAAGUUAAUGGAGUACAAAUAUUGGUUAUUCACUGCAUUCACUUCUCUUUAUUUGGAGGCACUUGACCUGAAGAAUUGAAUUGACUAUGAUUCGUUUUUUUCCUCGAGCUAAUGUUUCCUCUUUUAACAGAAGUCUAAGAAACUGUGGUUUGCCAGAAGCUUUUCCAGAUUUCAAUUCAAUACCCGAGCUUAUUGGUAUGAUUUAACAUCAUUCUCAUUAAUUGGUUGAGUUCUUCUCAGUGGAGAUAGUGGUAGUUCAGCUGCUCCAAUAUUUAUGUGUAUUCUUUUGUAUUGCUAGGUGCCUCCUGCAGAACUUCAAGACCUUGUUGUGAAGAAGUUGUUAAGGAGUUUAUAGCUAAAUUAUUAUGGCGGUUUGAAAUUUGUGUUGUUUAGGUGUAAUUGGUUAGGGAAAGAAAAGCUUCUAAGAGUUUAUAGCUCUACAUGUUGAAUGUAAUGUUUGACAUGAAAAUGUAUGUUAAAAGAAUUUUGUGUAAUAUAAUGAUAACAAUGUUCUUAAAUAGCUGAAUAAAUAAAUGUUGUCUUUUGAUAACAAAAAAUAUAUAUUGUAAGAG